UCCAUUCUAAACCCUAAUUCCCUCGCUCCCCAAUUGUAAAACACUUUCAUCUUCAAAAAUCCACCACCAGAUCUGGUGCAAAAUAACCUUCUGGAUGUGUGGUUAAAGUUUUGUUCGCCAUGAAUCCAUCUCCUAUCUUCAAAGUUCGUGUAAUGGGUCCAUCUAUAUUCUCCCUCCGAUUUAUUGAAGUGAACUACGUAAAUUCCCUAAAUCCCCAUGUAGCGGCUCUAAAGGGGAGAUUCUGGCACCCUUGUGGAAAAUAUCCUAAAUCGCUCCUGAUGAAGCGAUUUGUUCAAAUGGUACUGCGGUACCGGAAAAGGGGGAACCGCCUGCCGAGAAACUGUAAAACCUAGAAGUGGUGGCGGGCAACUACACCUCGCCUCUCUUUGUUUAAGACCUUUUACUAGACAUCGAGCCAGGGACCAUGGACAGUGUUCGAUCUGGUCCGUACGGUCAGAUCUUCUAGCCGUGUAACUUUGUGUUCGGGAAGUCUGGUGCCAAAAUUGGGCGAAAGGUCAUUAUACGGAAGGAGUAGAGCUUAUUGAUUCUAUUCUUGGCGUUGUUCGUAUUGAUUCCAUCUGGUGCUGAAAGAAGGUUUGAUUUUGCCGCUGUUCGUAUUUGAUGGACUGAUAGUUACAUUAAAAUUGAAUUCAAUCACACAAAGAUAAGGAAGCUUGAUGACUCACUUUUCUUUAAUGUUUUUCUAAGGCCUACAUACAGGUUGGAAUCUCCAAGUUCUAAACUUUUAGGCAAUAUGUUGAUAAUAUCUGCUGGAGUUUUAUUAAUAGGAAGUUGCAUUGUUAACUGAUUGGAAAUUUUCAGGUGGUUCCCAUGGAUAUGUUGUUGGACACAUUUGCCCUGAAGCACAGGAUUCUGUUCCAUGAUGUUAGGUGUGCAAGUUGGUUAUGUGUUGUGAAGGGAUGUGGCUUGACCCGUUCGAAAUAAGGCUUCAAAUGGAGGAGGCUUUACUUUCAUGGUACUAUAUUUAUCCGUUUAGUGUAAAAGAAAACUUUAUGUGGAUUGGUGAAUGUUUCGGAAAUAAGGGAAAGUAGUGCCAAAACAAAAGGAUAGACUUUGGAUUCAUUAUUUGCAAACAUGAAGGAGCAAAGGAUGAAUGUUUUAUCUCACCAACAACACAACAAUAAUGUGGGGAGAAGAAAU